rnacentral:rRNA from 1 species
AUGCCUACGGGAGGCAGCAGUGGGGAAUAUUGCACAAUGGGCGAAAGCCUGAUGCAGCAACGCCGCGUGAAGGAAGACGGUUUUCGGAUUGUAAACUUCUAUCAAUAGGGAAGAAAGAAAUGACGGUACCUAAAUAAGAAGCCCCGGCUAACUACGUGCCAGCAGCCGCGGUAAUACGUAGGGGGCAAGCGUUAUCCGGAUUUACUGGGUGUAAAGGGAGCGUAGACGGCAUGGCAAGUCUGAAGUGAAAGCCCGGGGCUCAACCGCGGGACUGCUUUGGAAACUGUUAAGCUGGAGUGCAGGAG